UCCAGACUCCUACGGGAGGCAGCAGUGAGGAAUAUUGGUCAAUGGGCGGGAGCCUGAACCAGCCAAGUCGCGUGAGGGAUGACGGUCCUACGGAUUGUAAACCUCUUUUGCCGGGGAGCAAGCGUGCGUUCGUGAACGCGCGUCGAGAGUACCCGGAGAAAAAGCAUCGGCUAACUCCGUGCCAGCAGCCGCGGUAAUACGGAGGAUGCGAGCGUUAUCCGGAUUUAUUGGGUUUAAAGGGUGCGUAGGCGGACUUUUAAGUCAGGGGUAAAAGCCGGGGGCUCAACCCCGGCGAGCCGUUGAAACUGGCUGUCUUGAGAUGUCGAGAGGUAUGCGGAAUGCGCAGUGUAGCGGUGAAAUGCUUAGAUAUUGCGCAGAACUCCGAUUGCGAAGGCAGCAUACCGGCGGCGAUCUGACGCUGAGGCACGAAAGCGUGGGUAUCGAACAGGAUUAGAUACCCCAGUACU
rnacentral:rRNA from 1 species